rnacentral:rRNA from 1 species
AUUGAACGCUGGCGGCAGGCCUAACACAUGCAAGUCGAACGGUAACAGGAAGCAGCUUGCUGCUUCGCUGACGAGUGGCGGACGGGUGAGUAAUGUCUGGGAAGCUGCCUGAUGGAGGGGGAUAACUACUGGAAACGGUAGCUAAUACCGCAUAAUGUCGCAAGACCAAAGAGGGGGACCUUCGGGCCUCUUGCCAUCGGAUGUGCCCAGAUGGGAUUAGCUUGUUGGUGGGGUAACGGCUCACCAAGGCGACGAUCCCUAGCUGGUCUGAGAGGAUGACCAGCCACACUGGGACUGAGACACUGUCCAGACUCCUACGGGAGGCAGAAGUGGGGAAUAUUGCACAAUGGGCGCAAGCCUGAUGCAGCCAUGCCGCGUGUAUGAAGAAGGCCUUCGGGUUGUAAAGUACUUUCAGCGGGGAGGAAGGGAGUAAAGUUAAUACCUUUGCUCAUUGACGUUACCCGCAGAAGAAGCACCGGCUAACUCCGUG